GCGGGUCUCUUCCCUCUCACUUCGGUGUUUUUAUCAAAUUGUGUGACUCCUGGGGACAUAAAGGUGACUGAUAGAAGAUAUUCCUACUAUACAGCCUGUGGACUCCCAGGGGCUGGGCCAGGACUACACUUUGGGUGCCACGGAGGGAAAGAGGCAGGCUCCUGAAACAUUACAACUGGGAAUAACUACCUGCUCCAAAAGAACUAAAUGGAUCCCUGGACUCCCUUCAAGUGUUAAUUUACCUAGUAUGAAGAAGAUGAGGCAAAGAAAUUCAGGUAUUUUUCCAAGAUUAGAAUCCUACUCAUACACUGGUCACUGAAAAAAGAAAAAGGGAGGCGAAGGAAAGGAGCCAUGAUGUUCAAACUAUGGAUAAACAUAAAAAUAGGAGAAAACAGCUCCAAGUAGCACUUCUGAAACAGACAGUGGAAAACAUCUAUGGAAAAUUUUGAGCAACAUGACUGCAAAGGACAAGAAUGAAAGACUAGAGACACAAAACUCUCAUUUGCUCCAGGGACUGAUCACAUUGAUGAUACUUUUUAUAAGUCUUUUAUGCUCGAACUUGAUGAGGUAAAUAAUGGUUAGCAAUACUAGUUAGUCUAUGGCCCUUAAAUCUAUUUAAAAGCAUAGGUCAGAUGGAUUCCAUGCUGGUCCUGAUCUAUAAACCAAAUGGAUGAGGGGUGGGAGGAGUUGGAUAAUAAAUGAUUCUUUGAGAGGCAACCAUCUACCUAACAUACAGUAAAUAUGGAGACUGAGUAAUUGCAGUCAUAGGAUCUUGUAAAAAACAAACCAAUCAACAAUGAGUAUUAGUUAGUAAACACUUCCACUUGUAGAAUCGUUCCACAUUUCUUGGUACUACUAUUCCCUGUGAUUAGGUCAAUAGGAAACAGAACAACUAAGUCUACGCAGGACUUCAGGUCCUAAGGAGUAAAGGUUUGGGUCACCCUAGCCAGCAGAACCACAGUUGAUUCCAGUCCUUGCUAAAGGCAAAGAGAACAUGGAAUGGAAAGUGAAACAAGUAGUUAUAAAGUUGCAUUGUCAUGACC